GAUGAACGCUAGCGGCAGGCUUAACACAUGCAAGUCGAGGGGUAUAGUUCUUCGGAACUAGAGACCGGCGCACGGGUGCGUAACGCGUAUGCAAUCUACCUUUUGCAGAGGGAUAGCCCAGAGAAAUUUGGAUUAAUACCUCAUAGUAUGUGAGAAUGGCAUCAUUUUCACAUUAAAGUCACAACGGCAAAAGAUGAGCAUGCGUCCCAUUAGCUAGAUGGUAAGGUAACGGCUUACCAUGGCGACGAUGGGUAGGGGUCCUGAGAGGGAGAUCCCCCACACUGGUACUGAGACACGGGACCAGACUCCUACGGGAGGCAGCAGUGAGGAAUAUUGGACAAUGGGACGCAAGCCUGAUCCAGCCAUGCCGCGUGCAGGAUGACGGUCCUAUGGAUU
rnacentral:rRNA from 1 species